rnacentral:rRNA from 1 species
UUUUGCAGGAGGGCGCACGACCGGGCUUUGCUCAGGCCGCGCGCCUACCUGUUUUUUGUCGGGGACUACGCCACUCUUAACUGGGGGGCGCUAGGACGCGGCUCGUUUACUUUGAAAAAAUUAGAGUGUUCAAAGCAGGCCUUUGCUUGAAUACAUUAGCAUGGAAUAAUGGAAUAGGACUUUGGUUCUACUUUGUUGGUUUCUGGAACCGAAGUAAUGAUUAAUAGGGAUAGUUGGGGGCGUUUAUAUUUCCAUGUCAGAGGUGAAAUUCUUGGAUUUUGGAAAGAUAAACUUCUGCGAAAGCUUUCGCCAAGGAUGUUUUCAUUAAUCAAGAACGAAAGUUAGGGGAUCGAAGACGAUCAGAUACCGUCGUAGUCUUAACCAUAAACUAUGCCGACUAGGGAUCAGUGGACGUUAUUUUAUGACUCCAUUGGCACCCUGUGAGAAAUCAAAGUUUUUGGGUUCCGGGGGGAGUAUGGUCGCAAGGCUGAAACUUAAAGGAAUUGACGGAAG